rnacentral:lncRNA from 1 species
CCCUGCUUCGUCCGCAUCACAACGCCCGCGUCUCUAGCAUCCCGCGAUCAGCGUCAAGCUCCGUCGAUCACGCUCCCGUCUCCUCCGCGUUUCAGAUCAUCCACCGCGUCCGUGAUCCACCUCUUCCGCUCCUCCCAAUGGUUCACAGCACCACACCUCCUCCGCGGCGCCCUCCAAGUCACCCCAGCUCAUUCCGCGGCCAGCCCCUCUCCACCGUGUCCGUGAUCAACGCUCACAGCAGCCUCCUCCGCCUCAGCCCGCGGUAGCCUUCAUUAUCAGCCAUCACUGCAUCCAAUCUUCCAUUCCCAGCACUCAGCAGCCUGUGAUGCAUCCCAAGAUCCAUGCCUUCCUCCAAGCGAUCCCGCAGCUAACCAAUUGCGAGCAUCCGGCGCCUCCUCUUCCAGCAACGGUUCCGGGAUCCAAGCAUCAGCCAUUCUCUCAGCAAUCCCGUGGCCAGCCGUGAAUCACCCUGCGCCCGAGCUCCAUGAAUCGUGCCUUCAAGUCCUCCCUUCCGGAAUCCCA